rnacentral:tRNA from 1 species
GUGGGAUUGUGGCUCAGUGGCAGAGCACUUUUCUCCCACAUGUGAGGCACUGGGUUCGAUCCUCAGCACCACA